CAUCUUGCACUAAAUUCAAUCGUCGUAGAUAUUUUUCUCUUUCAGAAAUCGCUUUCAAUAUUGUUGCAGAUAAGUACAAGUAAACUUCAUGCAGACAUUGGCUUUUCAACCAAGCAAAUGCGUAUGAAAAAUGUUAUGCGAGUCGUAGACGCUCUCUUCCAAGGAUAUGGAAAGAAAUGAGGUCAAACCUGGUGGGCGGUGAUGACUCAUGACUCUAAUGCUGGUGGUGAGUGGAUUUUUUGAGCUUUUUCUGGUUUCAGAAUGAAAAGAAGAUAAACUUCUGGUUAGGAGGUCCAAAUUUUAGCCCACUAAUUAUCACGGUUAUCAAACCUGGAUUUAACCAGCAAGCUCAAUCUGCACCAAUGACCAGCCAAUCAAAUGCUCAUGCACGCCAUACUGAAGAGCCGCUAGAAUAAAAGAUGAAUUUGAGCCCACCUCAAGAAGAAUAGCAGCUGCGCAUUCCUUGUUCUUUUGGGUCCCGUCCUUGAUGAAUUCUACAAGAGUUUCAAUGAACGUAAACUGUCCAAUCCUCAGACGCCCUUGUGGGUGCAAUGCAAGAAGUGUAAAGAUAGAGAGUGCUUCCUCAACCAUGUGCAGGUUUCUAUCCUCCAGUAAGUUGAGUAAAGGUGACACAAUGCCAGCUUCAAUGGCCAUAGCCCUGUUUACUUGGUUGAGAGAUGAGUUAAAGAGUGCAGUAAUGGCAUCUUUCUUACCCUAAUUGUCCCAUUUGUUAACAGAUCUAUUAAUGGCGGAAUGCCAUUUGAUGAUCCUAUGGUUAGCUUGUUCUCAUCAAACAUCGAUAAGCUAAAUAAAGCCGCUGCUGAGUUCUCUCUUGCCUCUACACUUCCAUUUUUCAGAACUUCUACGAUGGCAGGAAUGGCUCCUUCCUGAGCUAUUAGUCUCUUGUUGGUCUCACCAAUUGAUAAAUUCAACAAAGCCGUACUGCAUGCUCUUGAAUUUUGGAAUCUGGGUAGGACAGAAGAUGAACCAGUGGUGAAAUUCCUCCACUGUUGGCUAUUAAAAUUCUGUUAUCUGGGCUCUCCUUUGAGGGUAAGCGUAUCUUCUUUACAGUCGCUCUUUGCACUUCAAGGUCACUGGAAGAUAGCUUUCCAACUAGAGCUGAGAUUUCUUCUUUGAGCUCAGCACUAGAGCAUUCUGACAAUGCUGCAUUGUCUUUCUUUGGAAGCUUAAAAUUGUUCUUCUCACACCACUGCAUGAUCAGCUUCUUGAGGUCAUAAAUUGGUGCCAGCGACAGGGAUGAAUACCUAUCCACUCGCAACAUAAUUGGGUCGAUCAUGAUCUUUAGUGUGAUUGGGCGGAGAAAUUCAUGAGGGAUGACUAAUGAGAGGCAGUUUUCCAGCAUUUUUGGCACAGCGGGUUCAUCAAGAACAUCAGUGAUUUCCACACCAGCAGCCUGUUUGAAUUUAUUUAGAAGGUCUAUAAUUUGGUUGAUGCUCUCUAAAUGUUAGCCUGCUCUUCCUUUGAUAAGAUUCCUCACAGCUAUAGUCUCGUUCUUCAGGUCAUCAACACUCCGUAAGUCAAGCCUUUUUCCCAGUCUCUCUAUUAUAGCACUGUCAGCAUUUCGCUCAUCCUCUUUAGAGAAUACCACCAUCAUAUCCAUUGCAAGCUCCAUGUCUUGUGUGUCUGUUCUCCUCUUUGCCCGCUUAAAUUGCAGGCAGAUAAGCUCAACCUGUAUGGGGAUCAAUAUCAAUCACCCAUCAAUAGUUUAAAAGAAGAAAUAGUUUCUCUAUUUAUACUCAUGUUUUCAUCUGGAUUGGAUAUUGACCCAGUGAGGUGUUGAUAGAGGACUGGAUAUUGACCCAGUGAAGUGUUGAUGGAGGACUGGAUAUUGACCCAGUGAAGUGUUGAUGGAGGACUGGAUAUUGAACCGGUGAAGUGUUGAUGGUUGACUGAUAAUCAAUCAUGUAUGCUUAAUCAUAAAUACAAAAUCCGAAUUACAUUUACAUAAAAAUGAAUUUUCUUUAAUG